rnacentral:rRNA from 1 species
AUUGAACGCUGGCGGCAGGCUUAACACAUGCAAGUCGAGCGGGGGAAGGUAGCUUGCUACCGGACCUAGCGGCGGACGGGUGAGUAAUGCUUAGGAAUCUGCCUAUUAGUGGAGGACAACAUCUCGAAAGGGAUGCUAAUACCGCAUACGUCCUACGGGAUAAAGCAGGGGAUCUUCGGACCGUGCGCUAAUAGAUGAGCCUAAGUCGGAUUAGCUAGGUGGUGGGGUAAAGGCCUACCAAGGCGACGAUCUGUAGCGGGUCUGAGAGGAUGAUCCGCCACACUGGGACUGAGACACGGCCCAGACUCCUACGGGAGGCAGCAGUGGGGAAUAUUGGACAAUGGGGGGAACCCUGAUCCAGCCAUGCCGCGUGUGUGAAGAAGGCCUUAUGGUUGUAAAGCACUUUAAGCGAGGAGGAGGCUACUCUAGUUAAUACCUAGGGAUAGUGGACGUUACUCGCAGAAUAAGCACCGGCUAACUCUGUGCCAGCAGCCGCGGUAA